GGCCCGGCCGGGGACCCCGCCCCGCGCUUCCGGGAGGGGGAGGGGGAGAGGAGGAGCCGCCGGGCGCCCUAGGCCGCAGUCGCGCCUCCCUGCGGGCGGCCGCCAGGCCCACUCUGGGCACAGGUUCUGCCCGCCUUCUAGCCUGCCUCUUCUGCAGACAACAGGGAAGGAUGGACUGGGUCCGUGCUCCUCCAGGAAGUUCUUUAUUUACAAGUGGCAAAUAGGAAGUGGUCGAAGAGUCUUUCAGAAUCGCUGCGUCUCACAGUCUAGGAGCCCUGAGGCCUCCUUCAUGAAUGGCCAUUCUGCACCGCGGCUGCGCAAGGUGUUCCAAGAGCACGGGCUCCCUCCGGGCCCUGGAUCAGGAGAGAAUGUCAACCCGAUUCUGUUUGGAAACCCGGGCAACUGCCUACGCAUCCUCCAGUAUCCUUCCCAAAGUCUUCAUGAUGGAUGACGCUGGGUCACCUGAGAAGCUUUGCUACCUUUCAAGAGUGAAUUAAAAAGCAUUGAAAGUAUGAACCCCGAUACCCAAGAGUUUAUGUGUUACACAAACAGUCCGAACCUAAAAACAAAACAAAAGCACAUAAAGAAUAUGGGGGGCAGGGGAUGGGGCCUGCCUAGAGUAACUUGAAGGAAAUAUAGGAGAGUCUCUGCUAAGAGACUUCAGCCUUGGGGAAAGUACCUUGUGAUGUGUUUCAAGGGUGUAGUGUGGAGUAGUUCGUGCCUUCAAACCUAGCAUUUGGGAGGCAGAGGCAGGCAGAUCUCCAGUGCAAGGCCAGCAUGGUCUACAAAGAGAGUUCCAGGUGUGGUGGCACAGGCCUUUAAUCGCAACACUUGGCGGGGCAGAGGCAGGCAGAGCUCUGUGAGUUCAAGAACAACCUAGUCGGGGCUGGAGAGAUGGCUCAGAGGUUAAGAGCAUUGCCUGCUCUUCCAAAGGUCCUGAGUUCAAUUCCCAGCAACCACAUGGUGGCUCACAACCAUCUGUAAUGGGGUCUGGUGCCCUCUUCUGGCCUUCAGGCAUACACACAGACAGAAUAUUGUAUACAUAAUAAAUAAAUAAAUAUUA